rnacentral:rRNA from 1 species
GAUGAACGCUGGCGGCGUGCCUAAUACAUGCAAGUCGAGCGAACAGAUAAGGAGCUUGCUCCUUUGACGUUAGCGGCGGACGGGUGAGUAACACGUGGGUAACCUACCUAUAAGACUGGAAUAACUCCGGGAAACCGGGGCUAAUGCCGGAUAACAUUUAGAACCGCAUGGUUCUAAAGUGAAAGAUGGUUUUGCUAUCACUUAUAGAUGGACCCGCGCCGUAUUAGCUAGUUGGUAAGGUAACGGCUUACCAAGGCAACGAUACGUAGCCGACCUGAGAGGGUGAUCGGCCACACUGGAACUGAGACACGGUCCAGACUCCUACGGGAGGCAGCAGUAGGGAAUCUUCCGCAAUGGGCGAAAGCCUGACGGAGCAACGCCGCGUGAGUGAUGAAGGUUUUCGGAUCGUAAAACUCUGUUAUUAGGGAAGAACAAAUGUGUAAGUAACUGUGCACGUCUUGACGGUACCUAAUCAGAAAGCCACGGCUAACUACGUG